GCAUUGCACCGUAGUGUCAUGGCGGCCAUGGGAGUUUUAUAGGGUUUUAUAGGUUUAUAGGGGUGUUCGAAUUCGAAAGAGCCCAAACGCACCAGUUAAUUGUGCAUGCCAAGAAAAAUUAAAAUGGUGGAUGAUUUUGUUCAUGGCUUUGAUAUCGGUUUCUGAAACAAGUUUGUCGUCUCUAGAGAGUGGACUUCAAAGGCACCGUAACGAAAGUGUAAAAAUGUCCGAGUCGCUGUGGGAAGAUAAGGAAGUUAGAUUUGACAUUCCUUUUUAUCAAAUGAAAAUGAGACCUGGAGAAAAAAUACUGGAUAGACUGGAUUCUGUU